rnacentral:lncRNA from 1 species
GCAUCAUCUUGGAUUAGACGAGCAACAAACUCUUCUGUUUUCAACUGCAAAAAUAUAACGGAUGAAAGAAUUUACCAAAAUAAGAAUUUGGGGGCUUGAGAACCCUCUUUCAGAACAUCUUCUGGGACACAUCAACCAACAGCAGCAUGUAGCACAGCUUUUGUUUUGCUCGAAGAUGACUGGAAUCAGUUACGUCUCCCGAGGUUGUUGGCAGGGUGGCUCCAUACCUGGGAAGCCAGGAGGAAGCUAUGAAGCGUCUCUUGAGAGCAACCAAGUCUGAGAUCAUCCACGUUCUUCCAGAGGAGGCCCUGUGGGAACACCUGAAGACCAUAAAUGGGCACAUUUAACACUAGGUCGAUUUAGAGAUGGUGAAAUAAAAAAUGU